CCCAGCAGCCAUAUCACCCUGCAACUCACAACUGGCAGCCCACUGGAGCUCAGCAGGUGUGAGCCUGGUCAGUACCUGGAGGGAGACCUCCUGGGAAAAACUAAGGUUGUUCCUGGAA
rnacentral:rRNA from 1 species